CCUGUAUGCGCAGAUGUCAUUGCACUUCGUCCCACUCUUUAAAAUGAGAUACAACAAAAAAAUGGAUUAAUUAUAAGUGACAUCAUCGAUUAUUGUGCAGAAGUUCCUCCGUAAAUACUGUUUAGCUUAGUUUUCGUACAUUCCAUUUUAUGAUCGAAUACGUACUUGGUCCUCUCCAGCGCCAUCAUGAUAAAUCACAAUGUGCUGUAACAGUUUAUUCAGUUGUCUGUAAUCUUGCAAAGCGUUGCCACGAUUUAGUGCAAAAUCAUUGGGUACACUGUAAUAUCUUCUUGAGUCGCUAUUGCACCGCAGUCACGACAUUGCCGAUAAGAGCUGUGAUUUGGCUGAUCAGCAGCAACUAAACAUUUUAUGGAUCUGAGAGCACCGCUCAAAUUUGCGAAAGAUCUUGAUAGCAUUGUAUCGGUCGCUUCGAAUAAUAUUAUUGGAUACGACGCGGAAGACGAAUUCCAGAUUACAAAAACUUAUUGAGAUUAAUGCUCUACCGAAUUCUCAUACUACAGUUCUUUUCUUAACCGUUUUCUUUGCGGAAGGAGUGAUGAAUAUGUUCGUAACGUAUCCUUUCCGUUUUCAAUGUUUAAGUUUGGAUGUCAGAAACAAAAGCAUAAUAUGCAAUUAUUUUGAGUAAUAACAAUUUUUACGUGCGUAGAGAUAAAUAAGUUCUCCAUUGUACAUUUGAAACAAUAUACAAUAUAUAAAAUGCCUGCAGGUGUAAAAAAUUUAAGGAGUGAUUCUUAAAGCUAAAAUAAGAUGAAAAUCAAGAAUAAAAAAUUGCGUUUUUGGCUUUGUUUUUUAAUUAUUGACAAAGUUAACCGAAAUAUCCAUGAGCAAAUAGAGAAAAUAUCCGUUUACGCGAACGAAAGUAGAUCAGCCUGAGCAGCGGGCUGAACAACGAUCUACCAAUUGAAUGAUAUACGGCCAGUAGCUUGCCUCAACAACUUGCUGUACAAGUUGUAGAGAAGAAGAUUGUGGCAUUUGCAGACGUAAACUAUUCUGCGCAACGUUUGGUAAGAAAAAUCGUAGACUAAACAUUAAACAUGCCUACACAUGAAAAUCCGUAACAACAUAUCAAAAACCGUCUCAUGGAAUUUUCGAGUAGACAGGAGUAAUGUUUUCUCUAAUUCUUUGCCCGCUUAAAUAAUUAAUAAAUAAAAUCAGAUAUAAACAAUGUUUACACAAAUUUCACACAUGUACUGCAAGUAUUAUUCAGGCUCAGAAAAUAGUAAUUGUUUUAUAUUACUGUAAAUAUUCAAUAUAGCAACUAUUUUCUUGCAAGCAAGAUACACAAUACGCACGAUACAUACAACACAUACCGUGCACACUACACACAAUACACACCCAAAUCACUCGCGUUGGAACUAGAUAAAAAAGAUUAAAUAAACAAAAAAGAAUACAGAAAUAAAGGAAAUGAGAAAGUUCAGAGAACUAAAAAUGAAAAGGCUCAAAAAAGAUAUAUAGUAGAAUAACUUAAACCUAUAUCAAAUCAACAAUUAACGGCAAUUUUAUGUUUAUACAAUUCUAAUGUUUCUCUUUGGCUGUCGAGAUAUUUCUGACCUUCCAGAAUUGUUUUACCAUCUUAUCAAAUUUUUAAAAUCGCCAAUACAUAUUACGUAACAAGAUAAUAGUGGAAAGUUCCAAUUCAGAAAAAAAAUUACAAUGUUCUUUGCCAACGCUUUUGUUUUCUUUGUAUAAUUUUCAGUAUAAUGAUCAGUAAUUUGUAUGCAAAUAGGUGUCGACCACAUUUAGUAGCAUUUCAAGAAUACUUGAUGUGCAUGUGAUUUUUUUGUAAAUACUCGCGGACAGGAUGAUUGUGGUGAGUGUAUGAAAUUUGUAUAAACAUUGUUUAUAUGUGCAAUUAUUUAUUAAUAAUUUAUGGAGGCCAACAAUUAGAGAAAAUAUUAAUCCUCUUUAUUCGAAAAUUCCAUAAGGUGGUUUUCGAUAUGCUUUUAUGGAUUUUAAUGAAUGGACAGGUAUAAUACUUAAUCUAUGAUUUUUUUUACAAAACAUGCUGCUUAGGCUGAUCUACUUUUCUACGUGUAAGGAGAUCUGCUCGCGCACGGGGAUAUUUCGGCUAAUUUUUAAUUGUCAAUAACUAAAAAACAAAGCCGAAAAUGCAAUUGUUUUAUUCUUGAUUUUUAUCUUAUUACAUAUCUUUUUACACCUGUAGCCGGACAGUUAUAGAGAGAAGAGAUAGAGAUGCAGAUAGAUAAGAGAUUUUUGUUUUAUUUCGUUCAUUGUUCCCAAAUUAAUUUAUUGUUUAUAUUUUGUUUUUUGUACUCAUUUCUUGUUUGAAGCUAGUUAAGGAAUUAAUAUGAAUCUUGAUGCUAUCAAUCAAAGUUCCUUGAAUUUCUCCAAAGAAUCAAUAAUGAUUAAAUCUAAUAUUGUUAUAAUAUUAAAUUCCAAAAACUUAAUUUUAGAUUUAAAAAAAUAGUAAUAUAUUACUCUUAAAUAAUUAAAGUCAGAUAACAUAAUUAUAUAAUGAAUAAGGAAAUUUAAGUCAUAAUAGUAAAUUAACCUGUUAGUCCACAUACUAACAUAGGUUUCUACUUUACAAAAUUUCACAAAAUUCCUCAAUUUUUAAUUGAUACAAGUAACGGUAUAAUGCAAUUGAGGUGUUCCUUAUGCACAUAUACGUACAAGCUUCGCAGUUUCGCUCAAAUAUAUAUAAACGAUACUGAAAUAUAUCAAACAGCAUUAUAGAACAAAUAGUCGCUCUUAAGCUUUGUUUGCUGCGUUCGGUUUCGCAACUAUGUCUGUUCAUUCUCGUCUCGACAUAUGCUUUAUUUCGUAAAGAAGUAUGCGAAACGUUAUCAUCCUUCAACUUGUUUUAUCUAGACUGUAAACAUAGUGCGCUAGUAUUUCAGUGCUAAACAAACAAAGACC